AGCUCUUGAGGUGUAGGUAUAAAUGCGUGUGCAGGCUGCCUCAUAGACGAGUAUUAUCAUCAUUUUGAAGAUAUGUAUUUUAAACUUUUACUGGUUUCUGUUGGUCUGGUGUGUGUAGGUGUUGUCUCAGGUUCCCAAUACGCAGACUGCUAUUAUUGCAAUGUUUACUCCGACGACAACCCUGAAGCCUUCAACAACUGUCGUCACUUCAUUAAUAUUACCGAAACUCAUUCAUGCCGUGCUACUUUCCUUUGGCCACAUGCAAGAUGCAUAUUUUAUUUUAGAACUACUACAAGAAACGGAAAGAGCGUACAGCAAGCGAUAAGACAUUGUUCUGACAGGCAAUGUUAUGAACACAGGAAUAUGCACCCAAGAGCCAACCACUGUAGGGAGUGCUCAGACGGUUAUUGCAAUACUGACAAAUAUUGAUCAAUAGAAUCAAGUUUAUAAAUAUUGUCAACAUUUUCCUGCAACCUACUAUUAUUAAUUAUGUUAUUGUUUCUUAAUAUUUUUGUUCUUUUUUCUUUGCCAUUAUCCUCUAAACUACAAAAUGUAAUAAUUAUGGUGUAAUAUACGUGUUUAAUUAAAGCAUCACGCAUUGAAA